rnacentral:rRNA from 1 species
UGGGGAAUUUUGGACAAUGGACGCAAGUCUGAUCCAGCCAUGCCGCGUGCGGGAAGAAGGCCUUCGGGUUGUAAACCGCUUUUGUCAGGGAAGAAACGAGUUUCUCUAAUACAGAGACUUAAUGACGGUACCUGAAGAAUAAGCACCGGCUAACUACGUGCCAGCAGCCGCGGUAAUACGUAGGGUGCGGGCGUUAAUCGGAAUUACUGGGCGUAAAGCGUGCGCAGGCGGUUAUAUAAGACAGAUGUGAAAUCCCCGGGCUCAACCUGGGACCUGCAUUUGUGACUGUAUAGCUAGAGUACGGUAGAGGGGGAUGGAAUUCCGCGUGUAGCAGUGAAAUGCGUAGAUAUGCGGAGGAACACCGAUGGCGAAGGCAAUCCCCUGGGCCUGUACUGACGCUCAUGCACGAAAGCGUGGGGAGCAAACA